GGCCAGCAGCCGCGGUAAUACGUAGGGGGCGAGCGUUGUCCGAAUUUACUGGGCGUAAAGCGCGCGUAGGCGGACCUUUAAGUGGAGGGUGAAAUCUCAGGGCUUAACCCUGAAACUGCCUUCCAAACUGGAGGUCUUGAGGUAUGGAGAGGGAAGUGGAAUUCCUGGUGUAGCGGUGAAAUGCGUAGAUAUCAGGAGGAACACCCGUGGCGAAGGCGGCUUCCUGGCCAUAUCCUGACGCUGAGGUGCGAAAGCCAGGGGAGCGAACGGGAUUAGAUACCCCGGUAGUCCUGGCCGUAAACGAUGGAUACUAGGUGUUAGAGGUAUCGACCCCUCUAGUGCCGCAGCUAACGCAAUAAGUAUCCCGCCUGGGGAGUACGGCCGCAAGGUUGAAACUUAAAGGAAUUGGCGGGGGA
rnacentral:rRNA from 1 species